rnacentral:rRNA from 1 species
GGUUAAGCGACUAAGCGUACACGGUGGAUGCCCUGGCAGUCAGAGGCGAUGAAGGACGUGCUAAUCUGCGAAAAGCGCCGGCGAGGUGAUAUGAACCUUUGACCCGGCGAUGUCCGAAUGGGGAAACCCAGUGUGUUCCGACACACUAUCGUUAACUGAAUACAUAGGUUAACGAGGCGAACCGGGGGAACUGAAACAUCUAAGUACCCCGAGGAAAAGAAAUCAACCGAGAUUCCCCCAGUAGCGGCGAGCGAACGGGGAGCAGCCCAGAGUCUGAAUCAGCUUGUGUGUUAGUGGAAGCGUCUGGAAAGUCGCACGGUACAGGGUGACAGUCCCGUACACGAAAGCACACAGGCUGUGAACUCGAAGAGUAGGGCGGGACACGUGGUAUCCUGUCUGAAUAUGGGGGGACCAUCCUCCAAGGCUAAAUACUCCUGACUGACCGAUAGUGAACCAGUACCGUGAGGGAAAGGCGAAAAGAACCCCGGCGAGGGGAGUGAAAAAGAACCUGAAACCGUGUACGUACAAGCAGUGGGAGCCUCUUUUAUGGGGUGACUGCGUACCUUUUGUAUAAUGGGUCAGCGACUUAUAUUCUGUAGCAAGGUUAACCGUAUAGGGGAGCCGAAGGGAAACCGAGUCUUAACUGGGCGUUAAGUUGCAGGGUAUAGACCCGAAACCCGGUGAUCUAGCCAUGGGCAGGUUGAAGGUUGGGUAACACUAACUGGAGGACCGAACCGACUAAUGUUGAAAAAUUAGCGGAUGACUUGUGGCUGGGGGUGAAAGGCCAAUCAAACCGGGAGAUAGCUGGUUCUCCCCGAAAGCUAUUUAGGUAGCGCCUCGUGAACUCAUCUUCGGGGGUAGAGCACUGUUUCGGCUAGGGGGCCAUCCCGGCUUACCAACCCGAUGCAAACUACGAAUACCGAAGAAUGUUAUCACGGGAGACACACGGCGGGUGCUAACGUCCGUCGUGAAGAGGGAAACAACCCAGACCGCCAGCUAAGGUCCCAAAGUCAUGGUUAAGUGGGAAACGAUGUGGGAAGGCACAGACAGCCAGGAUGUUGGCUUAGAAGCAGCCAUCAUUUAAAGAAAGCGUAAUAGCUCACUGGUCGAGUCGGCCUGCGCGGAAGAUGUAACGGGGCUAAACCAUGCACCGAAGCUGCGGCAGCGACACUAUGUGUUGUUGGGUAGGGGAGCGUUCUGUAAGCCGUUGAAGGUGUCCUGUGAGGGGUGCUGGAGGUAUCAGAAGUGCGAAUGCUGACAUAAGUAACGAUAAAGCGGGUGAAAAGCCCGCUCGCCGGAAGACCAAGGGUUCCUGUCCAACGUUAAUCGGGGCAGGGUGAGUCGACCCCUAAGGCGAGGCCGAAAGGCGUAGUCGAUGGGAAACAGGUUAAUAUUCCUGUACUUGGUGUUACUGCGAAGGGGGGACGGAGAAGGCUAUGUUAGCCGGGCGACGGUUGUCCCGGUUUAAGCAUGUAGGCGGAGGUUCCAGGUAAAUCCGGUUCCUUGUUAACGCUGAGGUGUGAUGACGAGGCACUACGGUGCUGAAGUAACAAAUGCCCUGCUUCCAGGAAAAGCCUCUAAGCAUCAGGUAACAUCAAAUCGUACCCCAAACCGACACAGGUGGUCAGGUAGAGAAUACCAAGGCGCUUGAGAGAACUCGGGUGAAGGAACUAGGCAAAAUGGUGCCGUAACUUCGGGAGAAGGCACGCUGAUAUGUAGGUGAAGCCCCUGCGGGUGGAGCUGAAAUCAGUCGAAGAUACCAGCUGGCUGCAACUGUUUAUUAAAAACACAGCACUGUGCAAACACGAAAGUGGACGUAUACGGUGUGACGCCUGCCCGGUGCCGGAAGGUUAAUUGAUGGGGUUAGCGGUAACGCGAAGCUCUUGAUCGAAGCCCCGGUAAACGGCGGCCGUAACUAUAACGGUCCUAAGGUAGCGAAAUUCCUUGUCGGGUAAGUUCCGACCUGCACGAAUGGCGUAAUGAUGGCCAGGCUGUCUCCACCCGAGACUCAGUGAAAUUGAACUCGCUGUGAAGAUGCAGUGUACCCGCGGCAAGACGGAAAGACCCCGUGAACCUUUACUAUAGCUUGACACUGAACACUGGUCCUUGAUGUGUAGGAUAGGUGGGAGGCUUUGAAGCGUGGACGCCAGUCUGCGUGGAGCCAACCUUGAAAUACCACCCUUUAAUGGCUGGUGUUCUAACGUAGACCCGUAAUCCGGGUUGCGGACAGUGUCUGGUGGGUAGUUUGACUGGGGCGGUCUCCUCCCAAAGAGUAACGGAGGAGCACGAAGGUUAGCUAAUCCUGGUCGGACAUCAGGAGGUUAGUGCAAUGGCAUAAGCUAGCUUGACUGCGAGAGUGACGGCUCGAGCAGGUGCGAAAGCAGGUCAUAGUGAUCCGGUGGUUCUGAAUGGAAGGGCCAUCGCUCAACGGAUAAAAGGUACUCCGGGGAUAACAGGCUGAUACCGCCCAAGAGUUCAUAUCGACGGCGGUGUUUGGCACCUCGAUGUCGGCUCAUCACAUCCUGGGGCUGAAGUAGGUCCCAAGGGUAUGGCUGUUCGCCAUUUAAAGUGGUACGCGAGCUGGGUUUAGAACGUCGUGAGACAGUUCGGUCCCUAUCUGCCGUGGGCGCUGGAGAAUUGAGGGGGGCUGCUCCUAGUACGAGAGGACCGGAGUGGACGCAUCACUGGUGUUCGGGUUGUCAUGCCAAUGGCACUGCCCGGUAGCUAAAUGCGGAAGAGAUAAGUGCUGAAAGCAUCUAAGCACGAAACUUGCCCCGAGAUGAGUUCUCCCUGAGACUUUAAGUCUCCUGAAGGAACGUUGAAGACUACGACGUUGAUAGGUCGGGUGUGUAAGCGCAGCGAUGCGUUGAGCUAACCGAUACUAAUGAACCGUGAGGCUUAACCUU